GGAAAAAUAUACCACUAGACAUGUCCCAUGGUAUUAUCUUGUAUCUUGUUGAUUUAAUGCUACUGUGAGCAACAUCACCAAGCUUUUGGGCCAGGAUCACUGAAAAAUCUUUUCUUGGGCAACGUCCUGUGUAUGGGGAUGGUAGCUAGAUUAGCAUACCAAUUCCAAGAGCAAGUCGAGGCUUGUCGCUAUGCAACCGCUCGGUGCGGACGUGCAGAUGACCAUGACACCGUAGCUCACUGAGCUGCUGACCUGUGACUCGGGAAUAUAAUGGCUAACAGCCUAGUAGACAUCAACCAUGACAUGUAGCAACACUGCAUCAUUGGUAGCAGCUUAGCGCUCGGCUUACCUGUCAAAAACUCUUCCCGAGGCUCUCCAGACUUUCACAAACCGUUGGAGGCAAUUUAUUAACAAGCGAGUCAAGGAUUUUAUGAAGUUAGGCAAGUUUGAUCCGGAACUGGCAGCGUCCUAGGUAGAAUUGAGACGUUAAAGUUUCCUCUACAUGUCCCUUUCCUCCAUGUUUUCCACGUCGCCACCCCUUGCGUGAUGACGUAGGGGCGUGGCUUACGCCGUGACGUCAGUGACGCGUUGGGUAAAUACACGUUUGUUGAUUUGUUUUCAACUUAUCUGUUGACGUCAUUCAACAUUAUACUAUUCAUUGAACUCAUAUUCGUUUAAAGAUAUAUUUUUAUGAAUGAUAUGCAUGUACAGCCGUUUAGGAAACGCUGAGAGAUACAUGCUACAACAGAACACCUUAGGGAGAUGCUCAACACACCCGAGAUCCACAGGCUUUUCAGGCAGAUCAAAAGUUCCUGGUGGAAAAUUACUUACCUGUGCCUCCUCCUUAACCUGUAAGACCUGAAUCAUCUGCACCCUUUUUGAGGUAGUACUACAAAACACACAGCUAAAGCUACUGAGUUUGCAUCUUCACACCUUCAUCUAUUGAACAGACUGUGCACGGGUUUGGAACCUAUGGUUACCUGAGAGUGCCCCUCCCCCACCUGGAGCCUGUUUCAACAUAAGUCUUAAACUUCGAACUACAACCUUAAUUUAAACUGCUCUUGUUUUUAGUGCUGUGACGUCCAUCUGGCUUUUAAAAUCAACAUUAUACCAGCAUUCUCCUUUUUUGGCUUCCUAUACAACCAACAUAUAUGCAGAGGGAGAAUAAUAAACCAAAAGUCAGGAGAAGGAGCAAAAUGCAAAGCUGAUGGCUGCCCUUGACAGAAAAGAGCAACCAAGCAUUCCUCGAAUGCUGCGUGAGAAGGUAAGCAUGUUCUCUGAAUGAAAUAUUUAAAAUUCUUCAGUUUGUGUGCGUUUGGUAUAUGUUGUCCAAGAGUACAUUUGUCUAAAUAAUCUGUUCUCAUUUUGUCUUGAUUGGACUUUAGUGUGCUGCCCACAGAUGAGAGGGAGAAACAUUACAUUAUGGAGGAUGUAAUUCAGGAAGAGCAAAGCCCUGCAGAAAAAACUGUUUCAGACCCAGACUGCUGUCUCUGCUGUCAAUGAUCCACCAUGUUUUAGCCACCGGAUAUGACAGGAUAGAUUAUAUUUUAACCAAUGUUUCUUUGAUUGUCUUCAGCUGCAGCUGUUCUGGUAAUAAUAUGAUGUUGCUGACCUGAUUCUCAGCCCUCGUGAUGGGUUGCAGGCACAAAACAGCAUUUUCCUUUCUUAAAGUUUUGAUA
ensembl:lncRNA